CCCUUAGAUGUUCUGGGCCGCACGCGUGCUCCACUGAGUGGAUCAGCGGGUCAGGUUGCGCGAAAGCGUUUCCUAAUCUUUAAAUCCGCUCGUGAUGGGGAUUGACGGUUGCAAUUUUCUGUCAUGAACGAGGAAUACCUUGUAAGCGCGGGUCAUCAUCCCGCGCUGAAUACGUCCCUGCCCUUUGUACACACCGCCCGUCGCUCCUACCGAUUGAGUGGUCCGGUGAGGCUUUGGGAUCUGAGCGGAAAGAGCGUUUCGCUGUUUCUGCUCGGAAAACUCAGUCGAACCUUAUCAUUUAGAGGAAGGAGAAGUCGUAACA
rnacentral:rRNA from 1 species